AUUGAACGCUGGCGGCAGGCCUAACACAUGCAAGUCGAACGAGUGGCGGACGGGUGAGUAAUGUCUGGGAAACUGCCUGAUGGCGGGGGAUAACUACUGGAAACGGUAGCUAAUACCGCAUACCAUCAGAUGGGCCGCUAUGGGAUUAGCUUGUGGGUGGGGUAACGGCUCACCAAGGCAACGAUCCCUAGCUGGUCUGAGAGGAUGACCAGCCACACUGGAACUGAGACACGGCCCAGACUCCUACGGGAGGCAGCAGUGGGGAAUAUUGCACAAUGGGCGCAAGCCUGAUACAGCCAUGCCGCGUGUAUGAAGAAGGCCUUCGGGUUGUAAAGUACUUUCAGUGGGGAGGCGUUACCGGCAGAAGAAGCACCGGCUAACUCCGUGCCAGCAGCCGCGGUAAUAC
rnacentral:rRNA from 1 species